rnacentral:rRNA from 1 species
GAUGAACGCUGGCGGCGUGCCUAAUACAUGCAAGUCGAGCGAACGGACGAGAAGCUUGCUUCUCUGAUGUUAGCGGCGGACGGGUGAGUAACACGUGGAUAACCUACCUAUAAGACUGGGAUAACUUCGGGAAACCGUAGCUAAUACCGGAUAAUAUUUUGAACCGCAUGGUUCAAAAGUGAAAGACGGUCUUGCUGUCACUUAUAGAUGGAUCCGCGCUGCAUUAGCUAGUUGGUAAGGUAACGGCUUACCAAGGCAACGAUGCAUAGCCGACCUGCGAGGGUGAUCGGCCACACUGGAGGUUAGGCACGGUCCAGACUCCUACGGGAGGCAGCAGAAGGGAAUCUGCCGCAAUGGGCGAAAGCCUGACGGAGCAACGCCGCGUGAGUGAUGAAGGUCUUCGGAUCGUAAAACUCUGUUAUUAGGGAAGAACAUAUGUGUAAGUAACUGUGCACGUCUUGACGGUACCUAAUCAGAAAGCCACGGCUAACUACGUG